rnacentral:rRNA from 1 species
CAGAGGUGCCGAGCGUUAGGCGGAAUCACUGGGCUUAAAGCGCGCGUAGGCGGACGUUUAAGUGUCUUGUGAAAUCCCACGGCUCAACCGUGGAACUGCUGGGCAUACUGGACGUCUCGAGGCACUCAGGGGCGAGUGGAACAAGUGGUGGAGCGGUGAAAUGCGUAGAUAUCACUUGGAACGCCAAUGGUGAAGACAGCUCGCUGGGGGUGUCCUGACGCUGAGGCGCGAAAGCCAGGGGAGCGAACGGGAUUAGAUACCCCGGUAGUCCUGGCCCUAAACGAUGUCCACUAGAUCAUGGCGGCUCUGACGCCGUCAUGGUCGGAGCAAAAGUGUUAAGUGGACCGCCUGGGAAGUACGGUCGCAAGGCUA